GGUGGUGCUCCCUCACACACACAAGAGAGCAGCUCUGUCCAAUACAGAGGCCUUGUGGCUACUGAGUGCCUGAACUGUGGCCAGUCUACACUGAAAGGGGCUGUGUGUGAAAAAUACGUACUGGGUUUAGAAGACCUAGCACAGAAAAGAAUGUAAAGUAUCCAAUUACUAAUUUUUAAUAUUGAUGACAUAUCAGAAUGAUUAUAUUUUGGAUAUAGUGGGCUAAAUAAAAUAUAUCAUUAAGCUUCCUUGCACCUGUUAAAAAAAGCAACCACAAGAAAAUUAUAGUCACAUAUGUGCUUGUGGGAUUUCUGUUGAACAGCACUGCUCUGGAAUGUGAGUUCUUUGAAGGCAGAGACCAUCUCUGUACUGCUGACUGUGGUCCAAGAGCCAGAGCAGGGCCUGACAUACAAGAGUUUCUCAACACAUAAUUGUGGAUAAUUAAAUGAAUGAAUAAACGAAUGACCAAAUCCAAUCCAACUCUGAAUCUGCUCGUCUGGUCCCUGUGAACAUAGGAUUGGAUGUAAUUUUCACCUUGCCUUGUCUCUCUGGGCAGUUCUUCAAUGGCUGAGGCUUACAGAGAGAAUGCAUGCCGCACAGUGCUAGCUAAUGGAGAGGCUGGAUGUGUGGUGGAAUUUGGAGAAUAAAAAUGGCCAGAGUAUUUCCAACCACAAUGGCAGUGACCACUUACUGGAUACAAAUUCUGUGCCUGGCAUCAUUCUAGGCACAUUAUAUGGAGUGACUCAUUUUAAUUCUAACAACCUAUGACAUCAGUCCCACCAUCAACUCUAUUUGACAGACAGAGGAAAUUAAAGCUCAGACAGAUAAAAUUAUGCCCCCAGGGUUACAGAGCUGUUUUUUUUCCGAGUUCUGUCUGACAUGACACUUGCACUCUUCACCACCAUCACAGAACACAGAGAAGAGGGGACUGGGGGUCCUGCCAACACAGGGUGACACUGAACCAGGUCUGUUCAAUUCUGAGGCCCCAGCUCCUGAAAGCAGGUGGCCCCAGCCCUCCAGGAUUUGGAAGACUCAUUGUCUGUGUCUGGUACCGUGGAGCAUUUGGCCACAUAUCGUCUGUGCAUCUAGACAAGUCCUGGCAUGCAUCCAGCCAUAUCUUGCCCAUGCAUCUUCUUCACCAGAUGGCGGGACCACCCUCUGUACCUAUGAUGUGGCAAUGACUGCACAGAGUUGGAUCACUAGAGGGCAAUAUCGGCCAAGAGAAAGAAGAAUUCUUCACCACCGUUUCUAGGACUGGUGAAGGAGAUUCUGAAGCAGUGUUUUGGGAGUGAGAGACACCUACCAGUAUCUAAUAAAAGGUAGGUUGUGAAAAGGUUAUA
rnacentral:lncRNA from 1 species